UUCUGGCUCAGGACGAACGCUGGCGGCGUGCCUAAUACAUGCAAGUCGAACGGCUUUUCUAUGGAAGCUUGCUUCCACUGAGAAGAUAGUGGCGAACGGGUGAGUAACACGUGGGUAACCUGCCCAUAAGAGGGGGGAUAACAUCCGGAAACGGGUGCUAAUACCGCAUAGUUUUCUUGAUCGCAUGAUCGGGAAAGGAAAGACGGCCUUUGUGCUGUCGCUUAUGGAUGGACCCGCGGCGUAUUAGUUAGUUGGUGAGGUAACGGCUCACCAAGACGAUGAUACGUAGCCGACCUGAGAGGGUGAUCGGCCACAUUGGGACUGAGACACGGCCCAAACUCCUACGGGAGGCAGCAGUAGGGAAUCUUCCGCAAUGGACGAAAGUCUGACGGAGCAACGCCGCGUGAGUGAAAGAAGGUUUUCGGAUCGUAAAACUCUGUUGUCAGAGAAGAACAAGUUGGAGAGUAACUGCUCCAGCCUUGACGGUAUCUGACCAGAAAGCCACGGCUAACUACGUGCCAGCCGCCGC
rnacentral:rRNA from 1 species